GAGACACAGAGGGAGAUGCAGGCUCCAUGCAGGGAGCCCGACGUGGGACUCGAUCAUGGGAUUCCAGGAUCAUGCCCUGAGCCAAAGGAAGACACUCAACCACUGAGCCAUCCAGGCAUCCCUUAAUUGACUUUUAAAUAGAGAAUGGAGAGUUGGCUGCACAAGGAAAGCAGAAAAAUGGAGAGAGGGAUCUAUCAAAACUUAAAGAGUUUAUCAACUGGCUUGAAAUUCAAGGUGGACUACAGCGUUACACAAAAUGGGGUUUGGCCUUUUAACUCGCGUAACAUCACAGAACUGACAAAGUAUAAAAAGGCUAACAUACCAAAACCAUCUAAGUCAGCUAGUUUUAUGUGAAUAGCAUAAAUAAAUGUUUCAAGUUACAUCCUUUUAAGUUUGUUGUCCAGGAUCACUACAUCUCACAUGAGGCUCAAACUCACAACCCGGAGUUCAAGAGUUGCGUGCUCUUCUGACUGAACCAGCCAGGCACCCCUCAAGUUACAUUUGUAAUUCUGAGCACAUAAGUAUUAUAUGUCCUUUUCUUUCUCUCUUUGUUUUGCUUUGUUUUUUGGUAGACUGUAAUUUCCAGAGCAAAUACUGUAUUGGAGAUGUGGAUUUACUUUUCUGGGUAACAAUAAAGCUUCAAGCAUAUUGAUGUU